rnacentral:rRNA from 1 species
AUGGAGCCGUCGGAUCUGAACACGCACCUGCCGCCGCGGAAGCGGCUGCUGGCGGGGCUCCGGACGGCGGCCGCGGCCUCCCCCUGCGACGCCGCCGAGCCCGAGCCCGCGCCCGUGCCGCCCCUGCUCCUCCCCGACGGCCUCGCGGCCCGCCUCCGCGCCAUGCCGCCGGCCAGCACGCAGCAGGAGAUCAUCCAGGCCGCCCAGCGCGCGGCCGACGCUGCCGCCGCCGCCGCCGCCGCCGCCCGGGCGGCUGCCGUCGACAAGGCGGCCGUGGCCGCCAGGGCUAGGGCUGCGGCCAGGGCUGCCAUGGAGUUCCUCGACUCCCUCUGCAUCGCUGGCGCGUCCAGAAAUGGGAUCCAGCUGCUCAAACCGAAAUCCAAGAAGAAACAUGUGCAGGUCAAGCUCCUGUACAGGCCGCCAUCGGCCAAUGGCCGGGCGAUCGAGGGGGCAGAGGAGGCUGUUGGUGGUGAUGUCACUCCCAGGCCACAUCGUCGGCGCAGGGAGAGCGACGAGGAGGUCGCUCGCAAGCUGCACCGCGUGAUGAACAGCUCGCCCCGGAUUUCCUUCACCGGACCCAAGAGACCCCACAGUAUCGCCGAUGGGAAAGAUGGGGGGUUCCAUAGUGAUGGGGGUGGGGGUGAUGCUUGCAAUGGUUCCUUGACGCACACGCCAACUGAGGUUAGUUUCGUUAACGGAGGAAGCUCUGUAGGGAAAUCCGGCGAGAGAGCUAUUCACUCCUCCAAGACUAGGGCUCCGGACGACGACGGUGAACAGUAUCCUUGGAACACUGCAAAGGGCAGCAGGCACAUUGUUAAUAAUGGAGAUGGGAUUGGAAACCUAAGCGCUGGUCGGAAAGUGAAGAUCAAGAGGAAGCAGCUGUUUUUGAACCACCAUUCUAACGGUGAACAGAGAGAAGAGCAUAAUCAAGAAACAGAGCAAUCCAGAGACCCUCCUGUGGGAGGAUACUGCAAUGAGCUCAAGUCCAAUGACGCAGAAAAGCAACCUGGUUUCGCAGACGACGCAAGGGCAGCAGCACCUGGUGGUGGUGAUGAUCCCGCGCCGACCAAGAUCACGUCCGUGUGGAAGUUCAAGAAGUUCAAACCGGCGGCGUCGUCGCACUGCUCCUCCGACAGCAAGAUGUUGUGUUCCUCGAGCUCAGCGGCUGAAACCUCUGCUUCCGUGAAGGCCGAUUGA